GCUGCGAUGGCCGAGUGCAUGGUUAAGGCGUUGAACUCGAAAUCCAAUGGGAUAUUCCCGCGCAGGUUCGAAUCCUGUUCGUAGCG
rnacentral:tRNA from 1 species